AUUGAACGCUGGCGGCAUGCUUUACACAUGCAAGUCGAACGGUAACAGGCCGCAAGGUGCUGACGAGUGGCGAACGGGUGAGUAAUGCAUCGGAACGUGCCCAGUCGUGGGGGAUAACUACUCGAAAGAGUAGCUAAUACCGCAUACGAGCUAUGGAUGAGAGCGGGGGGCCGUAAGGCCUCGCGCGAUUGGAGCGGCCGAUGUCAGAUUAGGUAGUUGGUGGGGUAAAGGCUCACCAAGCCAACGAUCUGUAGCUGGUCUGAGAGGACGACCAGCCACACUGGGACUGAGACACGGCCCAGACUCCUACGGGAGGCAGCAGUGGGGAAUUUUGGACAAUGGGCGCAAGCCUGAUCCAGCAAUGCCGCGUGCAGGAAGAAGGCCUUCGGGUUGUAAACUGCUUUUGUACGGAACGAAACGGCUCUGGUUAAUACCCGGGGCUAAUGACGGUACCGUAAGAAUAAGCACCGGCUAACUACGUG
rnacentral:rRNA from 1 species